CAAGAAUGAGGGUUUUGUUUUGAAGCAACUGCUUGAGACCAAUGGGAUUUACUCAGAGGGGAAGCCUUUGGUCAUGAUAGGGGUAAUCACAACAUUUGGCCGCCAGAAGAAUAGGGAUGCAUUCGCAAUGUCUGGAUGGGAAGUGGUGCAGCUUUGAAGAAACUGGAGGAUGAAAGGGCAUUGUUGGCACGAUUUGUUAUUAGGAGAAGGUUUAAAUUCUUACUUUUAAUUUUUCUGGGAUGAGGGGGCAUGUUGGAUCCAAUUGUGAUUCUUAUGGCUUAUAAACAAUUUUGCAGUGAAAAUCGUGGAAACAAUUAGGAUAAGGACAUUGAUCGUGAGAAUAGGCUGACUAAUGACUUCCUAAUUCUUAUAAAUGGGAUGCACUGCAAUUAUGUUCAUCAAUGAUGAAUAAUUAUCUCAAGGCAAGUUUUAAUUUAUUGUUAUUGACAAAUAAUUGUUGCUUUAGUU